rnacentral:rRNA from 1 species
GACGAACGCUGGCGGCGUGCUUAACACAUGCAAGUCGAACGAAGUGGCGAACGGGUGAGUAACGCGUAAUCAACCUGCCCUUCAGCGGGGGACAACAGUUGGAAACGACUGCUCAUACCCCAUACUGACGGAGGGGGUUGCGUCGGAUUAGCUAGUUGGAGGGGUGACGGGCCACCAAGGCGAUGGUCAGAAGCCGGUCUGGGAUGAUGAACGGCCACAUUGGGACUGGGACACGGCCCAGACUCCUACGGGAGGCAGCAGUGGGGAAUCGUCCGCAAUGGACGAAAGUCUGACGGAGCAACGCCGCGUGAGUGAUGACGGCCUUCGGGUUGUAAAGCUCUGUUAAUCGGGACGCGGUACCGGAAUAGAAAGCCACGGCUAACUACGUGCCAGCAGCCGCGGUAAUAC